AGGACAAACGCUGGCGGGGUGCAUGAGACAUGCAAGUCGAACGAGGUGCCAUCGGGCUUGCUCGAUGGUUACCUAGUGGCGGACGGCUGAGUAACGCGUAGGUGACCUACCCGGAAGUGGGGAAUAACUGCCCGAAAGGGUGGCUAAUACCGCAUGUGGUCGGCGAUUCAUUUCGCCGUCUAAAGGAGAAAUCCGCUUCCGGCGGGGCCUGCGUCCGAUUAGCUAGUUGGUGGGGUAACGGCUCACCAAGGCGACGAUCGGUAGCUGGUCUGAGAGGAUGAUCAGCCAGACUGGGACUGAGAACGGCCCAGACUCCUACGGGAGGCAGCAGUCGGGAAUUUUGCCCAAUGGACGAAAGGUCUGAGGCAAGCAACUCCGCGUGAGGGAUGAAGGCUCUCGGGUCGUAAACCUUCUUUCGUCUAGGAAGAUCCAAGACGUACCUGAGGAAUAAGCGACGCUAACUACGUGCCAGCCAGCCGAC
rnacentral:rRNA from 1 species